rnacentral:rRNA from 1 species
UAGUCAUAUGCUUGUCUCAAAGAUUAAGCCAUGCAUGUCUAAGUAUAAGCAAUUAUACGGCGAAACUGCGAAUGGCUCAUUAAAUCAGUUAUCGUUUAUUUGAUAGCCCCUUACUACUUGGAUAACCGUGGUAAUUCUAGAGCUAAUACAUGCUGAAAACCCCGACUUCGGAAGGGAUGUAUUUAUUAGAUUAAAAACCAAUGCCCCUCGGGGCUCACUGGUGAUUCAUGAUAACUUCUCGAAUCGCACGGCCUUGCGCCGGCGAUGGCUCAUUCAAAUUUCUGCCCUAUCAACUUUCGACGGCUGGAUCUGGGCCCGCCAUGGUGACAACGGGUAACGGAGGGUUAGGGCUCGGCCCCGGAGAAGGAGCCUGAGAAACGGCUACUACAUCCAAGGAAGGCAGCAGGCGCGCAAAUUACCCAAUCCCGACUCGGGGAGGUAGUGACAAUAAAUACUGAUACAGGCCUCUUUUCCCUCUUGUAAUUGGAAUGAGUACAAUUUAAUUCCCUUAACGAGGAACAAUUGGAGGGCAAGUCUGGUGCCAGCAGCCGCGGUAAUUCCAGCUCCAAUAGCGUAUAUUAAAGUUGUUGCAGUUAAAAAGCUCGUAGUUGAACCUUGGGCCUGGCUGGCCGGUCCGCCUCACCGCGUGCACUGGUCCGGCCGGGUCUUUCCCUCUGGGGAGCCGCAUGCCCUUCACUGGGCGUGUCGGGGAACCAGGACAUUUACUUUGAAAAAAUUAGAGUGUUCAAAGCAGGCUUAUGCUCGAAUACAUUAGCAUGGAAUAAUAGAAUAGGACGCGCGGUUCUAUUUUGUUGGUUUCUAGGACCGCCGUAAUGAUUAAUAGGGACAGUCGGGGGCAUCAGUAUUCAAUAGUCAGAGGUGAAAUUCUUGGAUCUAUUGAAGACUAACUACUGCGAAAGCAUUUGCCAAGGAUGUUUUCAUUAAUCAGGAACGAAAGUUAGGGGAUCGAAGACGAUCAGAUACCGUCGUAGUCUUAACCAUAAACUAUGCCGACUAGGGAUCGGACGAUGUUAUUUUUUGACUCGUUCGGCACCUUACACGAAAGUACAAGUUUCUGGGUUCU